rnacentral:rRNA from 1 species
AUUGAACGCUGGCGGCAGGCCUAACACAUGCAAGUCGAACGAGUGGCGGACGGGUGAGUAAUGUCUGGGAAACUGCCCGAUGGAGGGGGAUAACUACUGGAAACGGUAGCUAAUACCGCAUACCCUCGGAUGUGCCCAGAUGGGAUUAGCUAGUAGGUGGGGUAAUGGCUCACCUAGGCGACGCUCCCUAGCUGGUUUGAGAGGAUGACCAGCCACACUGGAACUGAGACACGGCCCAGACUCCUACGGGAGGCAGCAGUGGGGAAUAUUGCACAAUGGGGGCAAGCCGGAUGCAGCCAUGCCGGGGGUAUGAAGAAGGCCUUCGGGUUGUAAAGUACUUUCAGCGAGGAGGCGUUACUCGCAGAAGAAGCACCGGCUAACUCCGUGCCAGCCGCCGCGGUAAAC